UGACUGCGCAUGCGUGCGGCUCUCGAAAGCGACAGCUGGUGCAAGGAACAGAAUCCUGGAGCUGCUGGAGAGGAUUCUUCCGCUUUUAAAUGGCCAGCGUGAAUGUGGAACGCCCCCCUCUGAGAUGCCCUUAAUGGCUAAGAAGAAGGGCCCGUGGGAGAUCCGGGUCGCGCGUUGCUAUGAUCGCUGUGUGCACGGCUGGAGAUGAGCAGUGUUGUAGCAAUGAAGCAGCUGGAUACAACGGAGUUGAAUGUUUGUGCUUCCUCCUCCCCCCCAUCUCUUUCGGGUGGCCAUGUGUGCUACUUCACAAAGAUCAUCCCUUUACUUGAAUACUCUGAGAGGACAGUCCCCUAUAUGGAAAGGCUGUCCAGUCCAAUCCAAAUCUGAUUUAAAGAUAAAGAACCCCAAAAAAAGGAAAGGUGGAGCCUUGAAGUUGCUGAAGAAGGGAAUUGGAGUCCAACAAAAUCUGGAAUGCCACUGGUUCCCUAUCCCUGAAAUAUGUGUUUUCCUAUUUGCAGCUCUAGACGGUGCAGCCUACGAACAGUUAAAACAACCAAUCCAUUCCUUGUGUAGAAGUGCACUCAGCACAGUAGACCCAUCUCCAGAAACCUGCUUCUGCAUAGGAUGAAGUUACUGAACCAGGGACUGGAGAUGGCAAUGCACUGGAUGGAGACUGAAAAACUGAAACUGAAUCCUGACAAGACAGGACAGCUAAUCUGGGAACUGAGCUUCAACCUCUGCUGUAUGAAAUAGUAUUCUCCUUGAAAUCACAGGCAUAUAUUUUGGGAGCGCUUCUAGACCUGGCCUUGAGCAGGUAGACUGAGAUGCUCUUGACCAACUUAGAGUGGCUCAUCAAAGCUAUUCCAGUUCCUGGAAAAGGUAGAUCUGGCCAUGGAGACACAUGCCUGAGUUACAACAGACGUGAACAACUACAGUGCACUCUAUAUGGGGCUGCUAUUGAAGAGUGUCCAGAAACUCCACCCUGUUCAAAAUGUGGCAGCUUAAGUUAUUGACUGGAUCCAGAUAUUGGGGGCAUGCUACAGCAUUGGCUCUCAAGUUUCUUUUUGGGCCCAAUUCAAUGUGCUGGUUAUGAACUUUUAAACCCUGCAUGGAUUGGAACCUGGAUACCUGAAGGAUCACCCUGUCCAAUAUGAACUUGCCCUAGCACAGCCUUUCCCAACUAGUGGGCCACUAGAUGUUGUUGAACCACAAUUCCCAUCUUUCCUGACCAUUGUCAGUGCUGGCUGAGGCUGAUGGGAGUUGUGGUCCAACAACAUCUGGUGGCCCACUAGUUGGGAAAGGCUGCCCUGGCACUAGGAUCAUCAACAGCUGCCCUCCAGUGUGUCCCAGGGAUCAGGACCUGGGGCAGGGUUAGCAUCGGUAGUAAGUUCUACUGGGGUAUUAGGGUCCUGCAAGCUGUCCAAGGAUGCCAACUGCUAACAAUGGCCCUGAGAACAUACAGAGUAAGGAUGGGGAACUUGUGGCUCUCCAGUUGUUGUUGGACUGCAACUCCCACCAACCCCAGGAAGUAUAGCCAAUAGUGAAGGCUGAUGGGAGUUGUAGUCCAUCAACAUCUGGAGGGCCAGAGGUUUCCCACCCUGCUAUAGAGGUUUCACUGCCAAUGGGCAGGGAAAUUUCUCAUCAGACAGUAAGCAUUCUGUGAACAAGAAAGUUUGAACACCACAAUCCUAGGACAAAAAAAUAUUUAAAUUAUAUAAGAUAAAAGAGAAUAAAUGAACAGCUUGAAUAUCCUUUGAAAUAUCAUGGAAAUGAUUAACACACACAUUAGUAUUAAAGUAUUGCAUUUGUAAGUCAACAAGCAGAGGUGAGUUAAUGGGUGGUUGAACAUCCAUCCAUUGGGUGGAAGAUACAUAAAGGGAUCUUCUUAGCCAUCUGUUUCUUUAUUCAUGGUAGGAACCAGUCCCAACUGUCCUGUCUCUAUAUGCCCCCAAUUAUGUCAUGGGUAUCAUGUCUCCUCCUCCUCCACUCUGUUUUGCUAUUGGGGCAAAUACCUAAUCCAAUCUGGAUUGCUCUAAGCGAAUACUGCUUGUGCUAUUGCCAACACAUUUUACAUGAAAUGCAUCAGAUAGAACUGAUUUGGCAAGAUCCAUCUAAUCAUAUUUGACAUGCUAGUCUAAUGCGUUUUAUUUAUUUAUUUAUUGCAUUGAUAUCCCAGCUUUCCUCCAAGAGCUCAAGGUAGCAUACAUAGUUCUCCCCCUUCCAAUUUUAUCCUCACAACAACCCUGUCAGGAAGGUUAGGCUGAGAGAUGGUGACUCUCCCAAGGUCACCCAGUGAGCUUCAAGGCUGAGUGGGGAUUCGAAUCCUGGUCUCUCAGGCCAUAGUCCGACCACUACACCACACUGGCUCUCACAGUGCAUGCAUUUUCAGAGAUGUUCAAAACCAAUUUGCAGGAUGUGACUUCCUGAGUUGUAGGGUUUUUGACCUCUAGUGAAACAACACUCCACCCUCAAAGCAUCUCUAGGUCAAAAGUGGGGUUAACAUACAACACUUCCUCUUUUCUCCUUCUCCUUCUCUCACUUGGGAUUUGUAGUGGGCCUAUCCAGUGGCACUGUCAGGGCAGAACAGAUGCAAAUGAAGUAAUACACAUUGCUAACUAAAUAGGGCCCCCAGUAACACCACUAAGUCUAGAGUCUAACUGGACUUGUUGGCAUGAGAGCUUCUCAUGCUGGCUGGUAUACAGCUUUCAGCCCUGGGAGUGACAUAGGUCACAACCACACCAUCUAUUUAAAGCAGUCCUAUAUAGGGUUGCCAGGUUCCUGGCCCGAGACUGAUCCUGUAUCUUUGGGAGAAGAGAAAGUCAGCCGAUGUUGCGCUGCAGCCAACUGAGAAGGGACAGGAAGGGGGGAGGCAUGAGUUUCAGGCACCUCCACAGCCAGAAGAAGCAGAGUUGGGGAUUGUUGUGUCUGAGCAGGAUCGUGCGGGAGGGGGGCAGCCUGCUCUCCAACCAGUUCCCACGAGUAACGCCCUUUCCGAGGAGCCGAGCGCACCGCCCCCAGUUGAUGCAGAGGACUUGUGGGGGGAGGCUUCAGAGACAGUGCCAGCUCCUCCUUUACCAAGCUGUUCCCAGGAGGAUUCCAGUGUGGCACCGCCCCCUGACCUCGAGCCCGUUGCUCGGGAGCAGGUGUCUUCAGAUGAGCCGUUGGAUGCGCGUCCCCUGUCUCCUCGUUCCCAUCACCGCGAGAAACUGACAGGGCAAAGACAGGAAUUACGAAGGAGUCAGAGAUUACAUUCGAAAACAUUUCCUAUAUAAGCCUGCCUCUCCCAGUGUGGGGUCGUUGAGUCAACUUCCUUCACACGCUGCAGAGCAUGUCUAGAGUAUAGUUAGGGACUCUAAUGAGUUAGCGUAGGGUUUCCUAUGAAGCGCAAUGCCUUUGAUGUAUCCAUUACUCUAAUAAAACGAGAUUUACUUGCACACACACUCCAGCCUCAUUCUUUCGGCUCUGGAUGGGACAGCCAAGUGUAAGUGUUCUUGCAACCCUGUAAUGAGAAAAACGACAAGGUGGAAUUCUCCCUUCUCAAUGCACAACUUUUAAAGAUACAGAAGACCUCUUGGAGGCCGGACCUGGCAACCCUUGUCCUAUACCACUUUAACAAUAAUUGAUUCACACAGAAUGGAUUCCAUUCUAUGGCUUCCUCCAUAGAA